rnacentral:rRNA from 1 species
GACGAACGCUGGCGGCGUGCUUAACACAUGCAAGUCGUGCGGAAAGGCCCCUUUGGGGGUGCUCGAGCGGCGAACGGGUGAGUAACACGUGAGUAAUCUGCCCUGCACUUUGGGAUAACUGCCGGAAACGGUGGCUAAUACUGGAUAGGACUGCAUCCUGCAUGGGGUGUGGUGGAAAGCCUUUGGGUGGUGUGGGAUGUGCUCGCGGCCUAUCAGCUUGAUGGUGGGGUAGUGGCCUACCAUGGCUUUGACGGGUAGCCGGCCUGAGAGGGUGACCGGUCACACUGGGACUGAGACACGGCCCAGACUCCUGCGGGAGGCAGCAGUGGGGAAUAUUGGACAAUGGGCGGAAGCCUGAUCCAGCAACGCCGCGUGAGGGAUGACGGCCUCGG